rnacentral:rRNA from 1 species
AGAGUUUGAUCAUGGCUCAGGAUGAACGCUGGCGGCGUGCUUAAUACAUGCAAGUCGAACGAGGAGCUAUUAUCUUCGGAUGAAAGAAUUCCUAGUGGCGAACGGGUGAGUAACGCGUUGGUGACCUGCCCCAAAGAAGGGGAUAACAGUUCGAAAGGACUGCUAAUACCCUAUGUUAUCAGUUGGAUUAGAAGCCUACUGAUUAAAGGAGUAAUCCGCUUUGGGAGGGACCUGCGUCCCAUCAGCUAGUUGGUAGGGUAACGGCCUACCAAGGCAAUGACGGGUAGGGGACCUGAGAGGGUGACCCCCCACAAUGGCACUGAAACACGGGCCAUACACCUACGGGUGGCAGCAGUAGGGAAUAUUGGACAAUGGGCGAAAGCCUGAUCCAGCAACGCCGCGUGCACGAUGACGGCUUUCGGGUUGUAAAGUGCUUUUAGAGGAGAUGAGAAAGGACAGUAUCCUCUGAAUAAGCCUCGGCGAACUACGUGCCAGCAGCCGCGGUAAAACGUAGGAGGCAAGCGUUAUCCGGAUUUAUUGGGCGUAAAGCGCGUGCAGGCGGUCUAUCAAGUUGGAUGUGAAAGCUCCCGGCUUAACUGGGAGAGGUCGUUCAAUACUGUUAGACUAGAGAAUGGGAGAGGGAGGUGGAAUUCUGGGUGUAGUGGUGAAAUGCGUAGAUAUCCGGAGGAACACCAGUGGCGAAAGCGGCCUCCUAGACCAUUUCUGACGCUAAGACGCGAAAGCUAGGGUAGCAAACGGGAUUAGAGACCCCGGUAGUCCUAGCUGUAAACGAUGUAGACUUGGCGUUGGCGGAGUUAAAUCUGUCAGUGCCGUAGCUAACGCGAUAAGUCUACUCGCCUGGGGACUACGAUCGCAAGAUUAAAACUCAAUGGAAUUGACGG